rnacentral:misc_RNA from 1 species
UUGAAAUCCUUAGGAUGUUGCUGGCCUUUCGGGGCAUGUGCACUCCGCCUUUUCAUCUCACCUGUGAACUUAUUGUAGGCCAGAUGUUACAGUCUGUGUCUAUGUUAUUUUUACACACACAAGUUUAUUAGAAUGUCUAAUGAAGACCUUUACUGGUCAAAAUUUAAUA